CCUACGGGUGGCAGCAGUGGGGAAUAUUGCACAAUGGGGGAAACCCUGAUGCAGCGACGCCGCGUGAGUGAAGAAGUCUUUCGGUAUGUAAAGCUCUAUCAGCAGGGAAGAAAAUGACGGUACCUGAGUAAGAAGCCCCGGCUAACUACGUGCCAGCAGCCGCGGUAAUACGUAGGGGGCCAGCGUUAUCCGGAUUUACUGGGGGUAAAGGGAGCGUAGACGGAAUGGCAAGUAUGAAGUGAAAUGCCGGGGCUUAACCCCGGAACUGCGUUGGAAACUGUGAAGCUAGAGUGCAGGAGAGGUAAGUGGAAUUCCUGGUGUAGCGGUGAAAUGCGUAGAUAUUAGGAGGAACACCAGUGGCGAAGGCGGUUUACUGGACUGUAACUGACGCUGAGGCUCGAAAGCGUGGGGAGCAAACAGGAUUAGAUACCCCUGUAGUC
rnacentral:rRNA from 1 species